rnacentral:rRNA from 1 species
GAUGAACGCUGGCGGCGUGCCUCAAACAUGCAAGUCGAGCGAGGCUAUGAAUUACCGCAAGGUAAGGCAUAGCCUAGCGGCGAACGGGUGAGUAACACGUGGGGUAACCUACCUGGAAGACAGGGAUAACGAUUCGAAAGGGUCGCUAAUACCUGAUAAUAUCCGUCUGCCGGAUGGCGGAGGGAAGAAAGGGGAAACCCGCUUUCAGAUGGGCCCGCGUCCCAUCAGCUAGUUGGUAAGGUAAAGGCUUACCAAGGCGACGACGGGUAGCCGGUCUGAGAGGAUGUACGGCCACACUGGGACUGAGAUACGGCCCAGACUCCUACGGGAGACAGCAGUUGGGAAUCUUAGGCAAUGGACGAAAGUCUGACCUAGCGACGCCGCGUGAGGGAAGAAGGCCUUCGGGUUGUAAACCUCUGUCAUGGGGGAAGAAGGAAGUGACGGUACCCCAAGAGGAAGCCCCUGCUAACUACGUG